AUCUUAUGCCACAUUUCAAUCAGGUCAAUUGUACGCAAAUUCACUGUAGCGGCGCUAGAGCUAUUUCAUUCUGAUUUGUUUUAUUCUAAGAAUUUUAUCAUAACCAUUUUUAUCAAUGUCAUAGUAGCUGUUAUAAAGAUAGUUCAAAUUUGGGGAUAUGACAAGUGACAUUUAUUAGCAGUGUUUAGAGUACGUUCACUAAACGAAGGAAAGUAUUUAACCAGUAAACUAUUUCGACCAUUUCGGGAAAUCUGCAUCUAAAUUGUGUCGCCAAGAUUUAGCGAUGACGAAUAUACUCGCCAAACACGGUCUCUCCAUAAGGCUCUCGUCAAUGAACAUGGAUACACAAUAUUUCUUAUGCAUUGUCUCUGAGACGGAAAUUUCUGCCUAAUUCCUAGGAGCAAUAAUAAAAGAUAUCGUUCAACGAUAUGGAUCGAAACAAAUGAAAUUAAAGAAGUUCUACUUUUGAAUUCAUGGUUCGAUAACUCAGAAGUAAUCAUCUCUCAGAUUUUAGUCAGAAGAUUAAGAAACAAUGUCAGAAGGAAGAAGUAGACUGAAAAUGAAUUUUUUUUCAAAAACCAACAAAAAAUAUGCGAUCUGUUAGUCUUGAUUGCAGAUUUUAGAUAUCACGGAACUCAAAAUAUCUUUUUGUCUUUCUCAAAUUUUUUUGAAAUUGGACAUGACCCAUUGUAUGGUCUUGUCUUCAAGAAAGUAAAAUCCCGCAUCGGAAAUCCAGUUUAACAGAACAGCUGUGUAAGUGGGUUUAAGACAUGUUAAAAUUGCUGUUGUGGGCCAUGAUGGGAAAAUAAUUCACACAAUGUUGCAUCAUGGGAAAGUGGGAAAAAGGAGUACCAGUUCAUGUGUGGUUCUCAUCAUCCAAAACUCCCCACCAAAUGGAGCAAAAUUAGGAAGUCCGUUUCAAAAUAGCUUUGGCGCACUUCAAAACGCGACGUGAAUCUAAUUAAAUUAAGCCUCCGAAAUUGGGGACCUCAGUUCUCAUAUUUGUUGAGAGAGGGUCUACAGCAGCAGUUCCCAAAAGGCCUAUUGUGUCCAUGGCCUAUUUGUGGGCUGUGGAAUGGACUUUUUAUAUUUGUUUUAGGUGCUGCUUUUUGACAU